rnacentral:rRNA from 1 species
UACCAGCUCCUCGAGUGGUCGGGGCGUUUAUUGGGCCUAAAGCAUCCGUAGCCUGCUUAGUAGGUCCCCUGUUAAAUCCUACAGCCUAACUGUAGGACCGCAGGAGAUACCGUUAGGCUAGGAGGCGGGAGAGGCGGAUGGUAUUCCGUGGGUAGGGGUAAAAUCCUCUGAUCCAUGGAGGACCACCAAUGGCGAAGGCGGUCCGCCAGAACGCGCUCGACGGUGAGGGAUGAAAGCUGGGGGAGCGAACCGG